rnacentral:rRNA from 1 species
AUACGGAGGGUGCAAGCGUUGUCCGGAUUUAUUGGGUUUAAAGGGUGCGCAGGUGGUUUAUUAAGUCAGUGGUGAAAGACGGUCGCUCAACGAUUGCAGUGCCAUUGAAACUGGUAGACUUGAGUAAAGUAGAGGUGGGCGGAAUUGAUAGUGUAGCGGUGAAAUGCAUAGAUAUUAUCAAGAACUCCAAUUGCGUAGGCAGCUCACUUGGCUUUUACUGACACUCAUGCACGAAAGUGUGGGUAUCAAACAGGAUUAGAUACCCUGGUAGUCCACACUGUAAACGAUGAUAACUAGGUGUCGGCCGGAUCUGGUCGGUGCCACAGCGAAAUCAUUAAGUUAUCCACCUGGGGAUUACGUUCGCAAGAAUGAAACUCAAAGGAAUUGACGGGG